rnacentral:rRNA from 1 species
AUUACCUGCGGCUGCUGGCACAUAGUUAGCCGGUGCUUCUUCUGCAGUGUACCUGUCACUUUCGCUUCUUCCCUGCUGAAAGCGGUUUACAACCCGAAUGCCUUCAUCCCUGCACGCUGGCUGUCGCUUUGGUCAGAGUUUCCUCCAUUGCCCAAUAUUCCCCACUGCUGCCUCCCUGUAGCCCCCCGUGCCCCCGCCCUGCCCUGCCGCGCGCGGCUGUGGCUGGUGAGUGAAUAUUUGGACAAUGGGCGCAAGCCUGAUCCAGCCAUGCCGCUGUGCAGUGAUGACGUGUCCUAUGUGAUUGUAAACUUGCUUUUUGUACAGGAAGAAACCCUUUCACGUGUGGAAGAUUUGACGNGUACUGUAAGAAUAAGGAUCUGGCUAACUCCUGUGCCAGCAUGCCGCGGUAAUA